UACGUAGGGUGCAAGCGUUGUCCGGAAUUAUUGGGCGUAAAGAGCUCGUAGGCGGUUUGUCGCGUCUGCCGUGAAAGUCCGGGGCUCAACUCCGGAUCUGCGGUGGGUACGGGGCAGACUAGAGUGAUGUAGGGGGAGACUGGAAUUCCUGGUGUAGCGGUGAAAUGCGCAGAUAUCAGGAAGAACACCCCGUGGCGAAGGCGGCUCUCUGGGGACGGUACUGACGCUGAGACGCGAAAAGCGUGGGGGAGCGAACAGG
rnacentral:rRNA from 1 species